rnacentral:rRNA from 1 species
GAUGAACGCUGGCGGCGUGCUUAACACAUGCAAGUCGAACGGUGAAGGCGGAGCUUGCUCUGCUGGAUCAGUGGCGAACGGGUGAGUAACACGUGAGCAAUCUGCCCCUGACUCUGGGAUAAGCGCUGGAAACGGCGUCUAAUACCGGAUAGGAGCUGCGAAGGCAUCUUCAGCAGCUGGAAAGAAUUUCGGUCAGGGAUGAGCUCGCGGCCUAUCAGCUUGUUGGUGAGGUAAUGGCUCACCAAGGCGUCGACGGGUAGCCGGCCUGAGAGGGUGACCGGCCACACUGGGACUGAGACACGGCCCAGACUCCUACGGGAGGCAGCAGUGGGGAAUAUUGCACAAUGGGCGAAAGCCUGAUGCAGCAACGCCGCGUGAGGGACGACGGCCUUCGGGUUGUAAACCUCUUUUAGCAGGGAAGAAGCGAAAGUGACGGUACCUGCAGAAAAAGCGCCGGCUAACUACGUG